GGAAGAACGUAGUGAAAUGCGAUAAGUAGUGUGAAUUGCAGAAUUCAGUGAAUCAUCGAAUCUUUGAACGCACAUUGCGCCCCUUGGUAUCCCGAGGGGCAUGCCUGUUCGAGCGUCAUUUCACCACUCAAGCCUGGCUUGGUGUUGGGCGACGUCCUCUUUGGGGACGCGCCUCGAAACGCUCGGCGGCGUGGCACCGGCUUUAAGCGUAGCAGAAUCUUUCGCUUUGGAAGUCGGGGCCCCGUCUGCCGGAAGACCUGCUCGCAAGGUUGACCUCGGAUCAGGCAGGGAUACCCGCUGAACUUAAGCAUAUCAAUAAGCGGAGGA
rnacentral:misc_RNA from 1 species